rnacentral:rRNA from 1 species
GACGAACGCUGGCGGCGUGCCUAAUACAUGCAAGUUGAGCGCUGAAGGUUGGUACUUGUACCAACUGGAUGAGCAGCGAACGGGUGAGUAACGCGUGGGGAAUCUGCCUUUGAGCGGGGGACAACAUUUGGAAACGAAUGCUAAUACCGCAUAAAAACUUUAAACACAAGUUUUAAGUUUGAAAGAUGCAAUUGCAUCACUCAAAGAUGGUCCCGCGUUGUAUUAGCUAGUUGGUGAGGUAAAGGCUCACCAAGGCGAUGAUACAUAGCCGACCUGAGAGGGUGAUCGGCCACAUUGGGACUGAGACACGGCCCAAACUCCUACGGGAGGCAGCAGUAGGGAAUCUUCGGCAAUGGACGAAAGUCUGACCGAGCAACGCCGCGUGAGUGAAGAAGGUUUUCGGAUCGUAAAACUCUGUUGGUAGAGAAGAACGUUGGUGAGAGUGGAAAGCUCAUCAAGUGACGGUAACUACCCAGAAAGGGACGGCUAACUACGCG